rnacentral:lncRNA from 1 species
GAGCCUGCUCUGCAUUGCAGUGGAAUCCAUUUGCUCAGGGACACUAAUAGACUGGAUUCAGAAGUGGGCCCUGAAUUUCCGUGAAAGGGAUGAGGGGCACUAGGGAAGGAGGCAGCUGGGAAGGACUGAAGUUUAGAUAGAAUUUAAAUAAAAUAGACUUCAAAGAAAAUGUUCUUCCUCUGACCUCCACCUCUGCUAAAAGCUGCACGAAGUAAAUGAGAUAAGAGGGAACCAAGUCCUGCAGUGAAAAGCAGUUUGGGUAAAAUGCAGAAGACAUUUGGGAAUGAAAGCGUCUGUUGGUGAAGAUCUGAAUCUUACUUUAUGGAAAGGAGGUUAAUUUUCCUCAUACUUACGACUUUGACACUUACACAUCUUUCAGCUAUUUCAGACAUCUAUUCCUGUUAAAGGAUGCACUGGCCCUAUUUUUGGAAGCUGGAUGACGCAGACGAAAGGUAAUGCAGUAGGGAACCUUUGGCCCCUCUUAAAUCACUGACUCAAAUCAUCACCAGAUUACCAGCAAUCCAAAUAAGUACAGUCUAAUGAUGCCCACAAACAUACCAGUAGGCAAUUAUACUCUUUUUUGAUGUUUCAAUAGUGUUUACGUAGUCGUAAACACUGUUUUUCAGGAAACAUAGUUUUAGAUAUUUUUACAGACAUUAUCUCCACUACUUUUUGCAAUAAUGCUGAACAGUUCAGGUAAGUUAAUUUCCCAAACAUCUAGAAAGUGCCUGUUUAAAUAUUUGAAUCCGAGUCUGUAAGCCAAAAGCUGUAAUCUUUCCACCAUAACACUGUUUAUUGGAGGGAAGAUAUCCAAUUCUGGUGUUCUUGUCCCUUUGACAUUUAGUGCCCCCUUUUCCCUCCCCUGCACUAGCCAGGAAUAGUGAUGGAAAGCAGGCAUAACCCUCCACAACUGGUU